UACGUAGGGGGCAAGCGUUGUCCGGAAUCAUUGGGCGUAAAGCGCGUGUAGGCGGCUCGGUAAGUCUGCUGUGAAAGUCCAGGGCUCAACCCUGGGAUGCCGGUGGAUACUGUCGAGCUCGAGUCCGGAAGAGGCGAGUGGAAUUCCUGGUGUAGCGGUGAAAUGCGCAGAUAUCAGGAGGAACACCGAUGGCGAAGGCAGCUCGCUGGGACGUGACUGACGCUGAGGUGCGAAAGCGUGGGGAGCGAAUGGG
rnacentral:rRNA from 1 species